UGAAAGUAUCGGUACUUAUAGGUAUGGGCGUUCAUAAAUUUGUGUUGUGUUUGUAACAGCUGCCGAGAUGACUAUUUUUGGUUGCUUUUGGACAAAUGGCCAAAUCUAUAGUGCAACACCUCCCCUUCUACUGCAUUGGUGUACUAAGAUUCGUCAUGGAAAGUGGUAACAAGGGUUGUUAGGUUCUCUUGAUAUCCUGGUUACUUUGGAGCUUACACCUUAGUGAGAGGCAUGAUAGUCUCAAAGCAUUUUUUAUAUGUUUCUUUUGGUUUGGCAUCAGCUCUGCAGUUUUAACAUUUCAAUUCUUGCCUGUCACACGUUGUCGGAACAUCGUCUAUUGGUUUAUCAAUUAGUUUAGCAUGUUGUUGUUUGAACUUACUAGCUAGCUUGGACAUAUAUUGUUCUGAACUCAAAAUUUCCUCCUUUUUUGUGUAAUUUUAAACCCAAUGGAUAAAAUGAAUGAAUGUUAAAAUUCUCAGUUUGAUUAUAA